UUGAGACCGGCGCACGGGUGCGUAACGCGUAUGCAACUUGCCCUACUGAAGAGGAUAGCCCAGAGAAAUUUGGAUUAAUACUUAUAAUAGAUUGAAUGGCAUCAUUAAUUUUGAAAGAUUUAUCGCAGUAGGAUAGGCAUGCGUAAGAUUAGUUAGUUGGUAAGGUAACGGCUUACCAAGACGAUGAUCUUUAGGGGGCCUGAGAGGGUGAACCCCCACACUGGUACUGAGACACGGACCAG
rnacentral:rRNA from 1 species